rnacentral:lncRNA from 1 species
UUUUUACCUCCCCUCCCCCACUAAAACUGGUCCCAGAAUCUCCCAGCUCUGCAGGGCUCUAUGAAAUUACUGCCUUGUUCCUAAAUUCAAUCCAUUCCUCUCUGAGCCAGGAUGCUCUCGAUCUCCUGACCUCAUGAUCCACCUGCCUCGGCCUUCCAAAGUGCUGGGAUUACAGACGUGAGCCACCGCACUCAGUCACAUUAAA